GUCUCGGAUAGCUUAACGUAGAGCCCUUGGCGCGUAACCGAGAGAUCUGGGUUCGAUUCCCAGUCUGGGCU
rnacentral:tRNA from 1 species